AGAGUUUGAUCCUGGCUCAGGAUGAACGCUGGCGGCGUGACUAAGGCAUGCAAGUCGAACGGUCUAGUGCUUGCACUAGACAGUGGCAAACGGGUGAGUAACACAUUGGUAACCUACCUCCAUCUCGGCCAUAACUCGAAGAAAUUCGAGCUAAUAGCCGAUAGUCUGGUUCUUCGUAAGUGGAACCAGUAAAGAUUUAUCGGACGGAGAGGGGCCUAUGGCUUAUCAGCUUGUUGGUAGUGUAAAAGACUACCAAGGCUAUGACGAGUAGCGGGCGUGAGAGCGCGACCCGCCUCAUUGGGACUGAGACACUGCCCAAACUCCUACGGGAGGCUGCAGUCAUGAAUAUUCCGCAAUGGCCGAAAGGCUGACGGAGCGACGCCGCGUGAUUGAUGACGCCCUUCGGGGUGUAAAAAUCUUUUCUCUGGGACGAAUCCAUGACGGUACCAGAGGAAUAAGGGGCUGCUAAUCUCGUGCCAGCAGCAGCGGUAAUACGAGAGCCCCAAGCGUUAUCCGGAUUUAUUGGGCGUAAAGCGUACGUAGGCGGUCUAAUAAGUUGAUGGUUAAAUCUAUUGGCUCAACCGAUAAACCGCCAUCAAAACUAUUAGACUAGAGACUGGGAGAGGCUAGUGGAAUUGCCGGUGUAGGGGUAAAAUCCGUUAAUAUCGGCAGGAACACCAAAUGCGAAGGCAGCUAGCUAGAACAGUUCUGACGCUAAGGUACGAAAGCGUGGGUAGUGAAUGGGAUUAGAUACCCCAGUAAUCCACGCCGUAAACGAUGAAUGCUAAGCAUUGGUAGUAUCGACCCUAUCAGUGCUGUCUACCUAAGUUAACACAUUAAGCAUUCCGCCUGGGAGUACGAGCGCAAGCUUAAAACUCAAAGGAAUUGACGGGAACCCGCACAAGCGGUGGAGCAUGUGGUUUAAUUCGACGCUAAGCGAGGAACCUCACCAGGACUUGACAUCUAGCUGCAAACCCCGGGAAACCGGGGCUCCUUCGAGGGUGCUAGACAGGUGUUGCAUGGCUGCCGUCAGCUCGUGCUGUGAAGUGUACCGUUAAGUCGGGAAACGGGCGCAACCCCUAUACUGUGUUAGAUUUGUCACAGUAAACUGCCCGUGAUAAACGGGAGGAAGGUGGGGACGACGUCAAGUCAGCAUGGCCCUUACGUCCUGGGCGACACACGUGCUACAAUGGCCAGUACAAUGGGCUGCCAAACCGUAAGGUGGAGCUAAUCCCAUCAAAACUGGUCUCAGUUCGGAUUGAGGUCUGCAACUCGACCUCAUGAAGUUGGAAUCGCUAGUAACCGCGCAUCAGCCACGGCGCGGUGAAUACGUUCUCGGGUUUUGUACACACCGCCCGUCACACCAAGGAAGCCGAUAAUACCCGAAUGUCGCCGUUAGGUGGCAGAAGGUAGGAUUGGUGACAGGGGUGAAGUCGUAACAAGGCA
rnacentral:rRNA from 1 species